rnacentral:lncRNA from 1 species
CUGUUAUGCUGAAACUAAAAGACAAAGCCCUUUUCCAGCUGCCAUUUGAGAUCUGUCUGAGGGGCCGCGGCCGCUAGGUGACGGUACUGUUUUUGGGUGAGCGCGAGCCCACGAAAAAUCCCGGCCAACUAGAGGCUAACAGCUUCACUGUAAA